rnacentral:rRNA from 1 species
GAUGAACGCUGACAGAAUGCUUAACACAUGCAAGUCUACUUGAAUUUGGGUUUUUAACUUAGGUUUGGGUGGCGGACGGGUGAGUAACGCGUAAAGAACUUGCCUCACAGCUAGGGACAACAUUUAGAAAUGAAUGCUAAUACCUAAUAUUAUGAUAAUAGGGCAUCCUAUAAUUAUGAAAGCUAUAUGCGCUGUGAGAGAGCUUUGCGUCCCAUUAGCUAGUUGGAGAGGUAACGGCUCACCAAGGCGAUGAUGGGUAGCCGGCCUGAGAGGGUGAUCGGCCACAAGGGGACUGAGACACGGCCCUUACUCCUACGGGAGGCAGCAGUGGGGAAUAUUGGACAAUGGACCGAGAGUCUGAUCCAGCAAUUCUGUGUGCACGAUGAAGUUUUUCGGAAUGUAAAGUGCUUUCAGUUGGGAAGAAAGAAAUGACGGUACCAACAGAAGAAGUGACGGCUAAAUACGUGCCAGCAGCCGCGGUAAUACGUAUGUCACGAGCGUUAUCCGGAUUUAUUGGGCGUAAAGCGCGUCUAGGUGGUUAUAUAAGUCUGAUGUGAAAAUGCAGGGCUCAACUCUGUAUUGCGUUGGAAACUGUAUAACUAGAGUACUGGAGAGGUAAGCGGAACUACAAGUGUAGAGGUGAAAUUCGUAGAUAUUUGUAGGAAUGCCGAUGGGGAAGCCAGCUUACUGGACAGAUACUGACGCUGAAGCGCGAAAGCGUGGGUAGCAAACAGG